AGCCUGAACCAGCCAAGUCGCGUGAGGGAAGACGGCCCUACGGGUUGUAAACCUCUUUUGUCAGGGAGCAAGAACAGGCACGUGUGCCUGACUGAGAGUACCUGAAGAAAAGCAUCGGCUAACUCCGUGCC
rnacentral:rRNA from 1 species